rnacentral:rRNA from 1 species
UACGUAGGGUGCGAGCGUUAAUCGGAAUUACUGGGCGUAAAGCGUGCGCAGGCGGUUUUGUAAGGCAGAUGUGAAAUCCCCGGGCUCAACCUGGGAACUGCGUUUGAAACUACAAGGCUAGAGUGUAGCAGAGGGGGGUGGAAUUCCACGUGUAGCAGUGAAAUGCGUAGAGAUGUGGAGGAACACCGAUGGCGAAGGCAGCCCCCUGGGUUAACACUGACGCUCAGGCACGAAAGCGUGGGGAGCAAACAGG